CCUACGGGUGGCAGCAGUGGGGAAUAUUGGACAAUGGGGGCAACCCUGAUCCAGCCAUGCCGCGUGUGUGAAGAAGGCCCUCGGGUUGUAAAGCACUUUCAGUGAGGAAGAACGCCUGGUGGUUAAUACCCAUCAGGAAAGACAUCACUCACAGAAGAAGCACCGGCUAACUCCGUGCCAGCAGCCGCGGUAAUACGGAGGGUGCGAGCGUUAAUCGGAAUUACUGGGCGUAAAGCGCGCGUAGGUGGCUUGAUAAGCCGGUUGUGAAAGCCCCGGGCUCGACCUGGGAACGGCAUCCGGAACUGUCAAGCUAGAGUGCAGGAGAGGAAGGUAGAAUUCCCGGUGUAGCGGUGAAAUGCGUAGAGAUCGGGAGGAAUACCAGUGGCGAAGGCGGCCUUCUGGACUGACACUGACACUGAGGUGCGAAAGCGUGGGUAGCAAACAGGAUUAGAUACCCGAGUAGUC
rnacentral:rRNA from 1 species